CAGCACUUUACUCCAGUGAGAAGAAACAAGAUGAGACUUAUUAUCCUGUGUGCUCUGCUAGCCACCGUCCUGAUUCAGGAUGUUGAGGGCUUUUGCAUACCUCUUCCUCCUUUUUUAUGUAGACCAGGAAGGGAAGCCGUGGAAGGACCUAAGGCAACUGAGAAAAGAGAAGCUCUGCCCAACCUGAGGGAAAUGGAGGUGAGAGUCUUGAACAAAAGAACAUAAUACACGACUCCUUCUGAAACACGGCUGCAAAGCUAAGGAAAAGCCUGAGUGGUGAACAACUGCGGUUCCCCACUGUUCUGACUUGUUUUCCAAACUUUGUUUUUCUAAUGUCUUUCUCCCUGGAAUAUGAAACCCUAUACCAAUAAAUCUUGCCUUGUGA